AUUGAACGCUGGCGGCAGGCUUAACACAUGCAAGUCGAGCGGAGAUGAGGUGCUUGCACCUUAUCUUAGCGGCGGACGGGUGAGUAAUGCUUAGGAAUCUGCCUAUUAGUGGGGGACAACAUUCCGAAAGGAAUGCUAAUACCGCAUACGUCCUACGGGAGAAAGCAGGGGAUCUUCGGACCUUGCGCUAAUAGAUGAGCCUAAGUCGGAUUAGCUAGUUGGUGGGGUAAAGGCCUACCAAGGCGACGAUCUGUAGCGGGUCUGAGAGGAUGUUCCGCCACACUGGGACUGAGACACGGCCCAGACUCCUACGGGAGGCAGCAGUGGGGAAUAUUGGACAAGGGGGGGAACCCUGAUCCAGCCAUGCCGCGUGUGUGAAGAAGGCCUUAUGGUUGUAAAGCACUUUAAGCGAGGAGGAGGCUACUGAGACUAAUACUCUUGGAUAGUGGACGUUACUCGCAGAAUAAGCACCGGCUAACUCUGUGCCAGCCGCCGCGGUAAAAC
rnacentral:rRNA from 1 species